UACGUAGGGGGCAAGCGUUGUCCGGAAUCAUUGGGCGUAAAGAGCGUGUAGGCGGUUCGGUAAGUCGGCUGUGAAAGUCCAGGGCUCAACCCUGGGAUGCCGGUCGAUACUGCCGGACUAGAGUUCGGAAGAGGCGAGUGGAAUUCCCGGUGUAGCGGUGAAAUGCGCAGAUAUCGGGAGGAACACCUAUGGCGAAGGCAGCUCGCUGGGACGUUACUGACGCUGAGGAGCGAAAGCAUGGGUAGCGAACAGG
rnacentral:rRNA from 1 species